rnacentral:rRNA from 1 species
UACGGAGGAGGCAAGCGUUAUCCGGAAUUAUUGGGCGUAAAGCGUCCGUAGGUGGCUAGUCAAGUCUGCGGUCAAAGACUGGGGCUUAACCCUGGAAAGGCCGUGGAAACUGACGAGCUAGAGUGCAGUAGGGGUAGAGGGAAUUCCCGGUGUAGCGGUGAAAUGCGUAGAGCUCGGGAAGAACAUCGGUGGCGAAAGCGCUCUACUGGACUGCAACUGACACUCAGGGACGAAAGCGUGGGGAGCAAACAGG